rnacentral:rRNA from 1 species
CCUACGGGAGGCAGCAGUGGGGAAUAUUGGACAAUGGGGGGAACCCUGAUCCAGCCAUGCCGCGUGUGUGAAGAAGGCCCUCGGGUUGUAAAGCACUUUCAGUGAGGAAGAACGCCUGGUGGUUAAUACCCAUCAGGAAAGACAUCACUCACAGAAGAAGCACCGGCUAACUCCGUGCCAGCAGCCGCGGUAAUACGGAGGGUGCGAGCGUUAAUCGGAAUUACUGGGCGUAAAGCGCGCGUAGGUGGCUUGAUAAGCCGGUUGUGAAAGCCCCGGGCUCAACCUGGGAACGGCAUCCGGAACUGUCAAGCUAGAGUGCAGGAGAGGAAGGUAGAAUUCCCGGUGUAGCGGUGAAAUGCGUAGAGCUCGGGAGGAAUACCAGUGGCGAAGGCGGCCUUCUGGACUGACACUGACACUGAGGUGCGAAAGCGUGGGUAGCAAACAGGAUUAGAUACCCGUGUAGUC